GGUGGGUUGGCAGAGUGGUCGAAUGCGUCGGUUUCGAAAACCGAUAUACCAGCAAUGGUAUCGCAGGUUCAAAUCCUGCACCCACCG
rfam:Candidatus Buchananbacteria bacterium RIFCSPLOWO2_01_FTLL_40_23b rifcsplowo2_01_scaffold_5202, whole genome shotgun sequence.